GGCUAUAUCAAGUUGAAACCCAAGUUCUCGUACGCUCACCAAAAUUAAGCAACAUCGAGCCUGAUCAGUACUUAGAUGGGUGGCCGCUUGAGAAUAACAGCUGCCGGA